rnacentral:rRNA from 1 species
UACAUGGGGUGCAAACGUUGCUCGGAAUCAUUGGGCGUAAAGCGCGCGUAGGCGGUUACUUAAGUUGGAUGUGAAAGCCCUCGGCUUAACCGAGGAAGUGCAUCCAAAACUGAGUAGCUAGAGUACGAAAGAGGGUCGCGGAAUUCCCGGUGUAGAGGUGAAAUUCGUAGAUAUCGGGAGGAACACCGGUGGCGAAGGCGGCGACCUGGGUCGAGACUGACGCUGAGGCGCGAAAGCGUGGGGAGCAAACGGG